rnacentral:rRNA from 1 species
UACGUAGGGUGCAGGCGUUAAUCGGAAUUACUGGGCGUAAAGCGUGCGUAGGCGGUUUGCUAAGUCAGGUGUGAAAUCCCCGGGCUUAACCUGGGAACUGCGCUUGUAACUGGCAAGCUGGAGUGUGGCAGAGGGGGGUGGAAUUCCACGUGUAGCAGUGAAAUGCGUAGAGAUGUGGAGGAACACCGAUGGCGAAGGCAGCCCCCUGGACUAACACUGACGCUCAUGCACGAAAGCGUGGGGAGCAAACAGG